rnacentral:misc_RNA from 1 species
GGAUCAAGCACGUUUCGGACUUCGUCUGCGAGCUCUGCGGGUACACGUUCGUCAGCAAGAAGGGCAUCGACGUCCACAAGAAGAAGAAACACCGAUUGGCGGACAAGACUGUUAGCUUAGAAGGUCCUUAUUGCGAAGUGUGCGAAGUACGUUUCAUAUCGGAGGAAGCGCAUUCGAGGCACCUGAAGCUGUCUUCGCGUCAUAGUAGUGAUAAUGAUCC